AGAGUUUGAUCAUGGCUCAGGAUGAACGCUGGCGGCGUGCCUAAUACAUGCAAGUCGAACGGAGAUUGUAGCAAUACGGUCUUAGUGGCGAACGGGUGAGUAACGCGUUGGUAACCUGCCCCGAAGCGUGGGAUAACGGUCCGAAAGGNNNNCUAAUACCACAUGUGAUCCCGAGGAAUAGAUACUUGGGAUGAAAGGAGCAAUUCGCUUCGGGAGGGACCUGCGUCCCAUCAGCUAGUUGGUAGGGUAACGGCCUACCAAGGCGAUGACGGGUAGGGGACCUGAGAGGGUGGCCCCCCACAAUGGAACUGAAACACGGUCCAUACACCUACGGGUGGCAGCAGUAGGGAAUAUUGGUUAAUGUGCGAAAGCGCGAACCAGCAACGCCGCGUGUGCGAUGAAGGCCUUCGGGUCGUAAAGCACUUUUUGCAGGGAAGAGGAAGGACGGUACCUGCAGAAUAAGUCUCGGCUAACUACGUGCCAGCAGCCGCGGUAAAACGUAGGAGACGAGCGUUAUCCGGAUUUACUGGGCGUAAAGCGCGUGCAGGCGGCAUGGCAAGUUGGAUGUGAAAGCUCCCGGCUUAACUGGGAGAGGUCGUUCAAUACUGCCAGGCUUGAGAGUGGUAGAGGGAAGCGGAAUUCCGGGUGUAGUGGUGAAAUGCGUAGAUAUCCGGAGGAACACCAGUGGCGAAAGCGGCUUCCUGGCCCAUUUCUGACGCUCAGACGCGAAAGCUAGGGUAGCAAACGGGAUUAGAGACCCCGGUAGUCCUAGCCGUAAACGAUGUGAACUUGGCGUUGGCGNGUUUAAAUCCGUCAGUGCCGCAGCUAACGCGAUAAGUUCACCGCCUGGGGACUACGGCCGCAAGGUUAAAACUCAAAGGAAUUGACGGGGGCCCGCACAAGCAGCGGAGCGUGUGGUUUAAUUCGAUGUUACACGAAGAACCUUACCAGGGUUUGACAUGUUGGUGGUAGUGAAGCGAAAGCGGAACGACUCUUCGGAGAGCCUGCACAGGUGCUGCAUGGCUGUCGUCAGCUCGUGUCGUGAGAUGUUCGGUUAAGUCCGCUAACGAGCGCAACCCCUGCCGUGUGUUACAAGUGUCACACGGGACUGCCGGUCUUAAGCCGGAGGAAGGUGGGGAUGACGUCAAAUCAUCAUGCCCCUUAUGUCUUGGGCUACACACGUGCUACAAUGGACGGUACAGACGGAAGCGAAGCCGCGAGGUGAAGCAAAUCCGAGAAAGCCGUUCUCAGUUCGGAUUGCAGGCUGCAACUCGCCUGCAUGAAGUCGGAAUCGCUAGUAAUCGCAGGUCAGCACACUGCGGUGAAUACGUUCCCGGGCCUUGUACACACCGCCCGUCACACCACGAAAGUUUGCAACACCCGAAGCCGGUGGNGUAACCGUAAGGAGCCAGCCGUCGAAGGUGGGGUAGAUGAUUGGGGUGAAGUCGUAACAAGGUAGCCGUAUCGGAAGGUGCGGCUGGAUCACCUCCUU
rnacentral:rRNA from 1 species